CCUACGGGAGGCAGCAGUGGGGAAUAUUGGACAAUGGGGGGAACCCUGAUCCAGCGACGCCGCGUGAGUGAAGAAGGAUUUCGGCGUGUAAAGCCCUAUCAGCAGGGAAGAAACUGACGCUACCUGACGAAGAAGCCACGGCUAACUACGGGACAGCAGCCGCGGUGAUACGUCGGGGGCAGGAGUUAUACGGAUUUCCUGGGGGUAAAGGGGGCGCAGACGGCUUGGCAAGCGAGGAGGGAAAGCCGGGAGGCCAACCCCCGGACUGCUGUUGCAACUGCACGGCUUGAGUGCAGGAGAGGCAGGCGGAAUUCCUAGUGUAGCGGUGAAAUGCGUAGAUAUUAGGAGGAACCCCGGUGGCGAAGGCGGCCUGCUGGACUGUGACUGACGUUGAGGCUCGAAGGCGUGGGGAGCAAACAGGAUUAGAUACCCUUGUAGUC
rnacentral:rRNA from 1 species